AACAGGAUUAGAUACCCUGGUAGUCCACGCCGUAAACGAUGUCGACUUGGAGGUUGUUCCCUUGAGGAGUGGCUUCCGGAGCUAACGCGUUAAGUCGACCGCCUGGGGAGUACGGCCGCAAGGUUAAAACUCAAAUGAAUUGACGGGGGCCCGCACAAGCGGUGGAGCAUGUGGUUUAAUUCGAUGCAACGCGAAGAACCUUACCUACUCUUGACAUCCACGGAAUUUGGCAGAGAUGCCUUAGUGCCUUCGGGAACCGUGAGACAGGUGCUGCAUGGCUGUCGUCAGCUCGUGUUGUGAAAUGUUGGGUUAAGUCCCGCAACGAGCGCAACCCUUAUCCUUUGUUGCCAGCGAUUCGGUCGGGAACUCAAAGGAGACUGCCGGUGAUAAACCGGAGGAAGGUGGGGAUGACGUCAAGUCAUCAUGGCCCUUACGAGUAGGGCUACACACGUGCUACAAUGGCGCAUACAAAGAGAAGCGACCUCGCGAGAGCAAGCGGACCUCACAGAGUGCGUCGUAGUCCGGAUCGGAGUCUGCAACUCGACUCCGUGAAGUCGGAAUCGCUAGUAAUCGUGGAUCAGAAUGCCACGGUGAAUACGUUCCCGGGCCUUGUACACACCGCCCGUCACACCAUGGGAGUGGGUUGCAAAAGAAGUAGGUAGCUUAACCUUCGGGAGGGCGCUUACCACUUUGUGAUUCAUGACUGGGGUGAAGUCGUAACAAGGUAACC
rnacentral:rRNA from 1 species